ensembl:lncRNA
AGAGGUUCAGGCCAUGAUUCAACAGCUCCCAUACAGCUGUGAAAGGAGCAAGGUGGCAGUGAGUUUCCUGCUACGAAGGGGAUUUCUGAUGAAUCUCCCUCAAAGAUCCUAUCCAGUACAGAUGAACACUGAGUGAAAAAAGAAAGUGAAAGAUCACAGAGAAGUUCUUAGAGAACAGCUGUGAAGUUGUGAAUUUGGAUAGAGAAGAAGCACUUUUAAAAUCCAGAACACCCUGUAGCUUUGUUGAACAUCCAGGUACCUUCUGUAGCUUUCUCUGAAUCCACAAAUAAUGUUUUAUAAUCAGUAACGUGUGUUAUAAGGAGCUUUCAAGGUGGACCUAUGUGGUAGGUAGAGGAUUCUUGUUGAAUCACUUGAGAGGAAAUCUGCCAGCAAUUACCACUCUUGUAAGAGGAGCAGUGAACUGGAACAUGUACAGCUAUCUGCACUGGAGUAAAAACCUAUUAGCUGAUGCUGUAGGUCUGGCUGUAGCCUUUGGACUCCUGCCAUCAUCAGAACAUAAACUCAUCACACUCUUCACAACAUUACAGCUUCUGGAUACAAAAUAGACAACCUCAUUUUACUACAGGGACGAAAAACCUAUCCUUAGCAGCCUAGUUUACAAUCCUUUGGAAGUUUGCUUGUUUAAAUGAAUAAGUAUAUUUCUAACAUCAGUAAUUUUGUUUAAGUAAAUAGAUAUAGAGCUGUCCAUUAUUUAUUUAUUUAUUUAUUUAUUUACUUGCUUAAUAGGCGGGAUUUCUCUAUUGCACUUCAAUUUCUUGUUACUGCCUAAAGACUUCUUGAGACCAAGGUGUUUUUAUUCCUUGCUGUUUGCUGAGAAAUUUUCACAGUAGUUUUAAGCAUUUAGAAACUCCAGAGAGAGAAGAAUAUGAAGUUAAAUUAGUGCAUUUUCUGAGUACGUCAUGAAUAGCUUCUUGAUAUAAAUUCCCUAAAGUGUGAGGGUAAAGGUUACAUAAAAUUUUACUGAGGCAAACCUUCAUUGUUCAGGGAACUGUGAAAUCUUACUUGCUACUCUUGUGUUGUAGUGAGCAUGCUUCUAUACCCUGUGGUUUUCCAGUUUGCUUGGGUCGGCUCUAAAGCAAGAAAUCUAUUAAAAUAUUAAAAAUUAUGAAUUAUGAAUUGAUGUUCAUUUCAGUAAGAUAAAAGAACUUUCUGCUCUUUUUCUACAUUAAGAUGCAAUCAAAGCAUAAAACUUUUCAGUGCUUUAGUGUCAUUUAAAGCUGAAAUGAGUCCCAUUUGGCAAUGAAGUCACAAUGUCCGUGACUUUUGGGAAAUGUAAUGUUUUGCCAUGAUUGCUAAUCUUUGACAGCUUAUAACUCUCUCUGACAAAAAUAUUCCAGUAUCCUUUCUGUAUAACAAACAGCACAAAGCCUUCACACUGAAAUGCCAAUCAGCUCAUUGCUCUUGGGUCUGCAUAAGUUUGAAUGGAAAGCGUAUGUAUUGCUUUGUGUAUUUAAUACUUUAAUGUGAACGGAAAUAAUAAAAAAUAUUUGGUAUGUU